CGAUUUUUCUGGUUAAUUCCGUUCACGAACGAGACACCAGACUACUAAAUAGUACGUGUUAUGGUAACAUAGUAUGAGACUUCUUAGAGGGACAUUUCGGGUUUACCGCAAGGAAGUUUGUGGCAAUAACAGGUCUGUGAUGCCCUUAGAUGUUCUGGGCCGCACGCGCGCUACACUGACGACUUCAACAAGUUUUUUGGCAUUGCCAAAUUUCCUUGGCCGGAAGGUCUGGGUAAUCUUUUAAAAGGUCGUCGUGAUGGGGCUAGAUUCUUGCAAUUAUUAAUCUCCAACGAGGAACC
rnacentral:rRNA from 1 species